rnacentral:rRNA from 1 species
CUACGGGGGGCUGCAGUGGGGAAUAUUGCACAAUGGAGGAAACUCUGAUGCAGCAACGCCGCGUGGAGGAUGACACUUUUCGGAGCGUAAACUCCUUUUAUAUAGGAAGAAGAUGACGGUACUAUAUGAAUAAGCGCCGGCUAACUCCGUGCCAGCAGCCGCGGUAAUACGGAGGGCGCAAGCGUUACUCGAAAUCACUGGGCGUAAAGAGCGUGUAGGCGGAUUAAAAAGUCAGAAGUGAAAUCCUAUAGCUUAACUAUAGAACUGCUUCUGAAACUCCUAAUCUAGAAUAUGGGAGAGGUAGAUGGAAUUUCUGGUGUAGGGGUAAGAUCCGUAGAGAUCAGAAGGAAUACCGAUUGCGAAGGCGAUCUACUAGAACAUUAUUGACGCUGAGACGCGAAAGCGUGGGGAGCAAACAGGAUUAGAUACCCUCGUAGUC